rnacentral:rRNA from 1 species
ACGGAAGGCAGCAGUGAGGAAUAUUGGUCAAUGGGCGGAAGCCUGAACCAGCCAAGUCGCGUGAAGGAUGAAGGUAUUAUGUAUUGUAAACUUCUUUAGACGUAGAGAAAUAAGAGGGUCGUGACCCUUGAUGCUAGUAUACGUAGAAUAAGGAUCGGCUAACUCCGUGCCAGCAGCCGCGGUAAUACGGAGGAUCCGAGCGUUAUCCGGAUUUAUUGGGUCUAAAGGGUGCGCAGGCGGUCUUUUAAGUCAGUGGUUAAAUCGUGGAGCUUAACUCCAUCCCGCCAUUGAUACUGGAGGACUUGAUUGCGGUUGAGGUUGGCGGAAUUCGCCGUGUAGCGGUGAAAUGCAUAGAUAUGGCGAAGAACUCCGAUUGCGUAGGCAGCUGACCAAGCCGUAAAUGACGCUCAUGCACGAAAGUGCGGGGAUCGAACAGGAUUAGAUACCCUGGUA